rnacentral:rRNA from 1 species
CAGAGGGUGCGAGCGUUAAUCGGAAUUACUGGGCGUAAAGGGCGCGUAGGUGGUUGUGUAAGUGAGAUGUGAAAUCCCCGGGCUUAACCUGGGAAUUGCAUCUUAGACUAUAUAGCUGGAGGUCAGUAGAGGGUAGUGGAAUUUCCGGUGUAGCGGUGAAAUGCGUAGAUAUCGGAAGGAACACCAGUGGCGAAGGCGGCUACCUGGACUGAACCUGACACUGAGGCGCGAGAGCGUGGGGAGCAAACAGGAUUAGAUACCCUGGUAGUCCACGCUGUAAACGAUGAAGACUAGAUGUUGUUGGGCUUAGACCCAUCAGUAUCGAAGCUAACGCGAUAAGUCUUCCGCCUGGGGAGUACGGUCGCAAGAUUA